rnacentral:rRNA from 1 species
CUUGUACACACCGCCCGUCACACCAUGGGAGUUGAUUGCACCAGAAGUAGGUAGCCUAACCGUAAGGGGGCGCUUACCACGGUGUGGUCAAUGACUGGGGUG